AGUCCACAGAAAUAUCUGAUUUCAAAGAGAUGCUUGCAUUCUGUACUGAUGCCAUCUAGAAUUGUAAAUGACCAGUGUCACACUGCUAAGUGGAGAAAGCGUGAAAGAAGAAUCCCAUCAGUACAUUCACGAUAGAGGAAAUAAGAAACAAUGAAAGCCACAAGUUUACUCGAAGGCAGCAAAAUUGGCCCUACUCCCAACCCUGCAACAUGCACCAUUUCCAUAAACAAUCUACAGAGAUGGCUGAGAAAAAGAAAAAGGGGUACUCUCCUUUACCCCUUCUCCAAAGCCCGAUGAAGUAAAGAGUAGAAAUCAAGAGUGUCUACAAGAAUUGGGGAUUGGCAUUGAUUCUCCACUGUGUGAUUACUCAUGCUUUAUGGCAAUGUGCCUAUUUAAAGGGCAGGUAAUGACUUAGCAAGAAGGAAGGAGAGAGAAUGUCAAACUCACCUGAAGUCUUACCAAUUGGU
rnacentral:lncRNA from 1 species